rnacentral:lncRNA from 1 species
GGAGUGGAAGUGAAGAUGAAAGUGAAUCAUGUGAUGAUGAAGAACAUGCACUCAUGGCUGUAGCCGAGGAGAUAACUGCUGAUCCCUCAGAAAUCAAAGUCAUAGUAGAAGAAAAAAUUGAGGUAUCUCCGAACAACUUUAGCUUAGACGAAAAAUCUGAGUGCUCCUUUAAUAAUUCCGACCUAGCCAGCUUCUCUGAGAAUGAAGAAGAAUUGUUUGAGACUAUAGAAGAGAUAACCUCUGAAUUUCCUGAGUUUAGGAUGAAAUACGCAGAACUAAAAAGAAAAUUGAUUGUUGAAACUGAGAAGGUGGAAAAUCUUGAAGGAAAUUUAACACAAGUCAAACAGAACAUAGUGAAUGUCAAAACUAAUCUUAGGAAUAUUCUUCGGCAAAAUGGAGUAUUAAAGGGAGAAUUAAGAAGAUGGCCUUAUUAUCGUCAUAAUUAUUUUUUACCUAGAUAUAUAGAGCUAAGACCAUUUUGUCAAACUGUUGCAGACUACAAUUUAUGGUGUAAUGCGUGUCAAACAACUAAUUAUUCUAUGGCUGAUUGUAUGUUCCGUGCUCAUAAAAACUCAGCAUCCAAGGUAGUCUGGAUGCGAAAAACCAAAUGACUAUUGGUGUUGCAUGUCUGCUAUCUUGUUAAUGAAGGAAGUCACAAAUGGGUGUUGGAUAGUGGCUGCUCUCAUCACAUGACCGGAAACGCUUCUCUUUUUUGUGAGUUAAUAUAAAAAAGGGGAAAUGUUAGUUUCGGUGAUAACAGGUCCUGCAAAAUCUUAGGAGUAGGAAAAGUAGGUAGUGGCAAUAUUAUUUUUCUUAAAGAGGUUUUUCUUGUAGAAGGGCUUAAGUACAACUUGCUGUCAAUUAGUCAAAUUUGUGGAGAGAAUCACAAGGUCAUAUUUGAGUCUAAUACCUACAGGGUUGAGAAUCUAAAAAUGGAAUAAUUCUAUUUAAGGGGUAUAAUGAUGUCACCACUUCUUGAAUUCUAGAACUACUGCAUCUUGAUAUGGUUGGUCCCUCAAACUAUAUGUCCAUAAGAGGAAAUACUAUGGAUUUGGUCUAGUUGAUGAUUUCUCUAGGUUCUCCUGGGUCUACUUUAGUUCCUCUAAAAAUGCAAACUNUUCCUCUAAAAAUGAAACCUUCCACAAAUUUAAAGUGUUUGUGUCCACUGUUCAGAAUGAGAAACAGUUAAAAAUCAUCAAAAUCCGUUGUGACAAUGGUGGAGAAUUUGUUAAUCAAGAGUUCAGUGAUCUGUGCGAGUCUCUAGGAGUUGAACAUAACUUUUCAGCCCCAAGAACUCCGCAUCAAAAUGGAGUAGUUGAACGUAAAAAUAGAACGCUAAUAGAGAUUGCUAGAACUAUGCUUCACGACUUUGCUCUUAGCUCAAAAUUCUGGGCAGAAGCAGUUAAUACGGCCUACUAUGUUACAAACAGAGCCUUGAUUCGUUCAAAGUUUAACAAGACUCCCUAUGAACUUUGGAAAAAUAAAAAUACUAGCAUAGGGUAUUUCAAACCUUUUGGGUGUAAGUGCUUCAUUCUCAAUACCAAAGAUGACUUAGGAAAAUUUGAUGCUAAAUUAGAUGAAGGGAUCUUUCUAGGAUAUUCUAGCAAUAGUCGAGCGUACAGGGUCUUUAAUAAACGAUCCAACAAGGUUGAAGAAUCAUUAAAUGUAAUUUUUCAUGAAAACUCUAAUCUUAAUGAUGAGCUGCAGGGUUCAAAUAAUUACUUACUAGAGCUGUCCGACACUAAUCUCCCUUUCAGUCAUCAGUUACAGCCUAAUUUGGCUGAAAUGGAUAAAGAACUACCAGUGGAGGUGGGAGGAUCUCAGAAAGAUAAUCCAUCAGGUAACCUAGACAACAGGACUCCCACUCCAGAAACAGAAACAUCAUCUUCUCAAUCAGCUAUGGAUGAUCAGAAUCAAGCUCCCCAACAUAUCCAAAAACUACAUCCUUCCAUGCAAGUAAUAGGAAACUUCAAUGAUCGAUUAAUUACACGCUGAAGAAGUUCUCAUUCUGCAUUUGUUUCAACCUUAGAACCAAAAAAUGUCAAAGAAACCUUAUUAGAUGAUGAUUGGAAUUUAGCAAUGAAUGAAGAGAUGGUUCAAUUUGACACGCUGCGGGUCUGGAACCUUAUAGCUAUCCCGCAAAUAGAACUAUUCCAGGUACUAAAUGGGUGUUUAGAAAUAAAACGAAUGAUAAGGGAAUCGUAAUUAAAAAUAAGUCCAGAUUAGUUGGCCAAGGUUACGAUCAAGAAGAGGGUAUAGACUUUGAUGAGACGUUUGCUCCAGUAGCCAGACUAGAAACUAUUCAUCUUUUAUGUGCUUUUGCCAGUAUUAAUCAUUUCAAGCUCUAUCAAAUGGAUGUGAAGAGUGCUUUUUUGAAUGGUGAUUUAAAAGAAGAAGUCUAUGUAUCUCAACCCCCUGGUUUUGAAAAUCAUGCAUUUCCUCAUCAUGUCUAUAAACUGAAUAAAGCUAUAUGGAUUGAAACAGGCUCCUAGAGCCUAGUAUGACAGAUUAAGUUCCUUUCUCAUUUCUCAUGGGUUUACCAGAGGAUCUGUGGAUAGCACUCUUUUUACAAAAAUAAUAAAAUCUUCCUUUCUCCUUGUCCAAGUUUAUGUGGAUGAUACCAUCUUUGAAUCAUCUAAUGAAAGUCUUAGUAUAGACUUUAGUAAAACAAUACAGGAUGCAUUUGAAAUGAGUUUAAUUGGAGAACUUUCUUCCUUUCUAGGCUUGCAAAUCAAGCAAGCAGCUUGCAAAUGAAGCAAACUAAGUCUGAUAUGUUUCUAAGUCAGUCUAAAUACUAUAAGAAUAUGCUAACCAUAUUUGGUUACAAUUCAAUAAAAAACUGUGCUACACCAAUGUCCACCUCUGUUAAAAUACAUAAUGAUGCUCCUGGGAAACCUGUUAAUGAGAAAUUAUAUCGAGGAAUGAUUGGCUCUCUUCUCUAUCUUACUGAUAGUAGGCCUGACAUCGCAUAUAGUGUAGGUAUUUGUCCACGUUUUCAAAGGAAACCUCAUUAUAUUCAUAUAAAGGCUGUAAAACAUAUCUUUUGAUAUAUUGUUGGAACUCUUAACUUGGGAUUAUGGUAUCCAGCUGAAGGAUCCACUAAUCUCAUAGGCUUCUUUGACUCUGAUUUUGCUGGCAACAUGAUUGAUCGAAAAAGCACAUAUGGUACAUGUCAAUUUCUUGGUAGCUCUCUUAUUUCGUGGUUUAGUAAAAAACAAAGCUUUGUUGCCUUGUCUACUACAGAAGCGGAGUAUAUUGCGGCUGGUAGCUGUUGUACUCAAAUUUUGUGGUUGAAAGCACAACUUCGUGAUUUUGGUAUAAGUCUGUCUACUGUUCCCUUACUAUAUGAUAAUACUAGUGCCAUCAAUAUGACAAAAAAUCAUGUUUAUCAUUCUAUAACUAAGCAUAUCUAUGUUCGACAUCACUUUAUUAGGGAACUUGUAACAAAUAAGGAAAUUGAACUUGAUUUUAUUCCCACUGAAUCCCAAUUGGCUGAUAUCUUUACUAAACCCUUAUCUAUUGAUCAGUUUCUCUUUCUUCGUAAGUCCUUAGGAAUUAUCUCUCUCACUGAUGUGGCCGAUAUUGAGGUACGCUCCUGAUUAGAAGUUUUAAUAAUUUGACUUUUGCGCUUCCAGUUUUAUCUAUUUACUUAUUUAUGUUUUUCCUUUUCUAUUUUCUUUCCCUUUUACUAGGUUUUUUUCUUUUAGUUUAUGCCCUGUUUACACUUUUCCUACCUUCUGUGUGUCUGUGAAAUCCUUGUGGUAAUAGGCAAGAUUCACAGCUUCUUCUAUUUAUAGAUCUUGUCUGUCACUCUGAUUUAUUAUUCUACUUUCAGCCCUCUAUCAUGAAUUCUUAUAAUCAUAUGCUAGCCUCUCUUGCUCGUAGUAAUGUCUUCUUCAUCAAUGAUCACAUGCGCAGUUGUGAGCAUCAAGCCAUCUAUCUUGAAUCCUCUAUUGAUCGUCUUGUUCUUCCAACUAUUCAUAUUGAUCAAACUGCCUUUGAUCGAUACGGCCUCAAUCCUUCUGCUCUCAUUGGCACUCUAGGAUGGAGUUCUCUCGCUCUCAAUCAGUGCCAUCAUUUUUUUCCUAUUGCACUUCGUCAGUUCUAUGCUAAUCUGCAGCUGGAAGGCUCUCUUCAAGAUGGAAGAUUCAACACCAUUGUUGCUGGAUAUUGUAUUGUUGUAACUCCUCGUCUUCUCUCAAAUGUUCUAGGCAUUCUGUCCGGGGGGUAUGGCGGUUUUCGACGAAUCAGACUUGUGCAAAAUUCCCUUUGACGCACCGGUGGUUCUUGGUCAUUGGACCAAUGCUCCUCCAACAACUCGGCCUCUCUCUAUUAUUCCCAUGCUUCCUGAUUAUCUCAAAGUUCUGCAAUGUUUUAUUUCUAGGGUUUUUCUUCUUCGCUCAGCAGGAAAAUUUCUAGUCACCAGCCUGGAUACCUGGAUCAUGCACUGUGCUAUCUUCAACUUUCAAACUGACUUCAGCUGAUUGAUGUUUGGAACCAUGAUUUUCUAUGGAAAUCGAGCCUUUCCUGGUGACCUUCUGUUUUGUCAUGUGAUCUCUUAUCUUAUCUAUGCUCUUGGUGUUCCAGUUCAUGGCAGUCUCCUGCUUGAAUCUCCUCUGCAUAAUCCUUGCCCUAGUCAUGUGCUCCGAGAGGUCGGAUGGGGUCACCUAAAGCCUACCUCUAGCUCAGGGGGAGAAGCUCUUCAUGAUCUCAACUUCUCUGAUGAUGAGGUGGAUGAUCUUGCUGCCGAGAUGGAAAGGAAUUUGGAGAUCCAUGAAGGACUUGACGUUGUUGCUGCUGACGACUUUUCUUCUUUGUCUAGUCAUUCUCUGAAUAGUGCUAUGUAGCUCUUGUUCUAGGAUUUGCGUUGUUUUGUCAUUUGUUCUUCCGCUUGGCUAGUUCAGUUAUGCUAUGUCUUUUGUUCUUAGUUUCAGUUGAUGUGUCUCGAGUAUGUUCUUUUCAUCGGCUAGGUUCGGUUCUUAGUUAUGUUAAGUUGCUUUCUUUUGAUUUGUCAAAGAACAACUAGCUUAGUUAAUAUUUUAAUAAAAGUGUGCUCACUCAGUAAGAGGUGUUUCCGAUCGUUAGUUGUUACCCAGAGACAUACAUAUAUAGUUAUCAUUCUACAGGUCUUUGAGAACGAUGACGUUCAGUGCAGGGCAAGCAUCUCGGUGCCAGAAAUGAGCCAUCCUCAGGCUUAGGGGGAGCUUGUUGACAUGGAUCAAGCCUUACUGAUAGGCUCUAGUAUUGCGCUCAUAUUUGCUUAAUGUGUUGCAGGUUCUUCGGCCCACAUAGAGUUGAAAAAGCCCGGUCCAAGCUGGCAUUCAGGAUUUGGCUAAGAGCUGUUGACGCGUGCUGCUCUUCAACCCUAAAAUCAUCACUGGAGCCAGCUGCCGCUACCGACUUGAGUAAUCAGAGAAAGUGUCUCUACUGAGACAAGAAACCAGGACUCAUGCAAGGAAGAAGGAAGCUUCGCCACUCACGUUCUUCGUCAGCAAGAGGCAGGAUCGGGCAGCAAUAAAUAGAUGCUGCAUCGACUUCUCACUCGCGCUUUCCAACGGAGAAAACACGACAAGGAUGGGUGUGCAAUCAGAAGAGAAAUUGCACAAUUGGAGCCGGAGCAUCGACACUAGUCACUGCAAUCGAGUUACGCUCGAUGCUAUGAGGAUAGCUGGAGCUUAACGGAAUAGAUCGUGAACUACGUGUCGGAGUCUCGAGGUGUUAAAGGUUGCAGAGUUGCCAACUUAAUCUCAUUUCAGUUAGUAAGUGUCAUAAUGAACCUCCUUGAAUAUUAUUGAGGCUUGCAUGUUCAGUUCUUUGGCUAUACAAUUGAAGUUCUUGAUUGCUUUAAUUAUAUAUAUAUUGUCUGUGUGUCAAUCCAGCUGUAAGAUUGGCUUCUGGUUCGUUAAAUCUUAAUCCCUUGUUUCUGAUCAACUAGAUUAAGUAACUAGUCUAAACAAUGAGGAUCAUAGGACAACACACAUGUCCUCUCUUUUGAGACGAAGAGCUGAAACCCCCUAGGCGAUUAAACAAACAAGUAUUGCUCACACGACAUACUAUUUCAUUCGCUUCCAGAUGAGAGUUAACGUCUAACCUAGUUGUUUGAUUUCGGCGUUCUAAAUAUGCAAGCUCUCUUGAGUCGAAGACAAAUCUAACAAAGAUCCAUUCAAGUUGAUCAGGUGAGAACAUAAAUGAAAUCGAAAUCAAACAUAAACUGAACUUCAUCCAACUGGCAUAAAUCGUCGAACGCAGUUAAAUCAUUCGUUCAUAAGGUUAAACCUAGGGUUCAUCUAAUUUAAGCAAGAGAAAUUUAGCUGCUCAUAAUCUCGAAGGAAAAAUCAAAAUAAGAGAAGGAAGACAUUGAUUCUAGGUUUACACAAAUAAUUAUGAAAAACCAAAAUUUCGCCUGAUCUUCCCGAAGAACUUGAUUCUCUGUCUUGAUUCUUUCACCGAUUCCGAGCUCCUUGAAGUUGCCUUAAAGUUGCUCUCAAAUCUCUCAAUAUUGCUCUUAGUUUCGUCCAAGGAAGUAUGUCUUUGAAUGGAGGAGAGCCGUGCUUUAUAUAGAAAUUCCAAAAUCCUUCAAACUGCCAGAUUUGCCAGUCUUUGUGCUAUGGACCUAUCAAAGAUUGCAUUAUGGUCAUAGCGCAAUGAUUGACCAAAUAUAGCGUAAAGAGUGACCAAAUUUCCAGAAUGGACUGUCAACUAUUGCGUUAUAAAUAUGUCAAAGAUUGCGCUAUGGUCAUAGCGCCAAUGUUUGACCACUUAUAGUGCAAUGGUUGAUAUCUUCAAGCACUUGUGUUUUCUUCACUCCUCGAACCGUCCUAACUUGUCCAUGCACGUCCUAGCUUGUUCAUGCAUCGUUAUGUACCUGAAAUCUUAUAAAGACACUCCAAAACGAUAUCAAAAGGACAUCUAAUGGGUACGAGACACUCAAUCGAGAUAAAAACUAAAAAUGCACAAAACAUCCUAAACUUCUACCCAAACCUAUACACUCAUACAUAUAAUGUUGCUUAAAUGAGGAUGAUGAAUGCGGUGAAUCAUCAUCAACAAUCAAAGAAAAAAGUAUUUUCUUUUUAUUUCCUUUACACGAUUCACCAAAAUGAACACCAUCUCUAAGACCAAAAAUUCUAACUGGACUUGCAUCGAACAAUUGGAGUGUCUCCACCAACUACAUGUAAAGUUCACUAAAACUUAAUAAAUUAUCGCAUCUCCUUGAAAGCACAACAUGACGACAGUGUUUAGAGUGAAAACUCGGCUCACAAUCUCUCAAACUCAACAUCAAACCACUACCACCCUUGAACCCAUAUGCAAACCCAAAUUCACUUUAAAGUGUAACAGAAAGUCAAAGUUUGCAGUGAAGGAAGAAAUGGCCACGUACAACCAUGAGAAAAUGUAGAAGGAAACCAAAAAUUUUAAAAAUUUUAAAGGAUAAAUAUACCUCGAUUUAAAUUUGUCUUUUGAGCUAUUAGAUUUGACGUUCAAAAUGAAUAAUUCAAAUAGCUCUAUUUAUUUGUUUCUGAUUCGGGCUCAACAAUGUGCUAUAUAAAUUAAUAUUUAUAUUUCUGUGGUUGGUAAGACUAACACAGUUUAGGGGUGGAAGUUUGAAAACGGGAUUUGGGAAUUUCCGUACCAAUACCAUACUAUGACCAUACCAAAUUUUACCGACUAAGUAUAUAACUAGUUAUAUUAACAAUUUUAUAUCUAAUUAUCCAAUCAUGUAACUAGUUACAUGCAACUAUAAUUAUAAUUAAUUAUUUAUCAAGUAAUUAAUGAUAAAUAACUAGUUAUAUUACUUUUUCCUAAAAUGAAUGGUAGCUUUUUGAUGGAAGGAAGAUGGUUGAUUGUCAGAAACUAAGAGUGAACUUUACCUUUUUCAAUCUCUCGAGUCUUUAUACUUUCAUAUAGAGUUCACUUCGCAGUAGCAGUAUUUUCAGAAUUUCAGUAGGAGGGUAGCACAGUAGCAGUACUUUGCAAUCAAAUUCGAAAGAAAAAAUUAAUUUGGAGCCUCAAAUUUUGAAUUUAAAUUCUCAAUCCAAAAUUUAAAUUUCCAAAUUAAAUUUUGAAAAUUUUAAAAUCAGAAAUUUAGAAUUAGAGAUUGUACAAAUUCAAAAGUGGGAUCCCAUUUUCGUCUCGUUUGCCACCCCUAACACAGUUGAUGAUGCAAGAGGAUUCUUCAUAGUUACAACCAAGCCUCAGUUGAUGAUAAAAUACACAAGACGAGUAGAAGUUCGGCAAUUUUUUUCUUUGCAUGUGCAAUAUCAUGAAUCCUAUAGAUCUUCUUUGUUUCUCAUACUUGAGCAUAAUCCUUCUCCACUUUCUUAAAUGAGGCUUGGUUGUAGGUUACAUACGAGCCGAGUUAAUUACCGAACUUUCUUAAAUUGAGGCUGGUUGCUUUUAAUCGGAUCAUCUUGUUUUAAAUAUUUUUGUUGAACCAGAACCCUCGUCUUUAGUGAUUUUAAAAUUUUCCAAUUAAUUUUAUGGCGAUUUCGAUCUCCAUUGGUGAAAAUUUUUGCACCCACGUGAUCACCAUCGUUGACUCUGCGUUUCUGAAAAAAAAUAUCAUACAAACUUUAUACUGAAAGUUAUACGGAUCAUACAAAUAUGUAUAUGUUUAUACAAACUCUACAAAAGGAUAUACACAUUCAUAUAACUUUCAUAUAAAAUAUAAUACUACGUUUUGUACAAAUUAAAUAUCAUACAACUUAAUAUAAUACUUAAUAUUUUACAUUUGUAUGAUUGUGGAAUAUUAUUUAAAACUUCGUAUAUUUAACCGUUAGAUUAAAACACAAUCUUUAUAAAUCCGAUCCAGAAGCCAUUUCUCGAUUUGAGCUCCUUGGUUAUAUACAUUGGAAAAAGAUUAGAUAUAUAUAAUAAUAGCGAAACUUGUAUGAAGACACGCACCGUCUAACUCAAAGUAAUAUAAUUGUUGUCGACUUGCUGGGUGUUGGGUGGUGUCAAAGGCUGACCAAACACGUACGUAGGUUUGGCUAAUUGACCAAUCAAUCAAUAAAUGCAACUACGUACUCUGACUCUAGAGGCAAGUUUAAUUUUCACAUGAAACAAACCUUUGCAUACAUUUCACGUAUUGACCAGCUACACUCUGUACUAGAUCUGUAUGAAUCAUGGUCGUCUUAUGGUUGUAGCAAAUGCCAUGAGAAACUAUGGAGAACCUAUGUCUGAUGUGAAGAUUGUGGAAACGAUAUUAAGGACUCAAUGUUGUUUGUUCAAUUGAGGAAUCAAAGGACAUAAAUGAACUCUCAGUGGAUGCUCUGCAGAGUUCCUUACUCGUUCAGGAGUAGAAGUUUAUAAGAAACCAGUAGCUGAGGAAGAUCAAGUACUCAAAGCCAGUUAUAACUUUGGAGGUCGAAGCAGUAGAGGAAGGGGACAGUUUUUAGAAGAGGAAGAGGUAGAGGUGGAAUAGGUUGGAGUAAAGAACGAGUUGAGUGUUGCAGUUGUCACAAGCUUGGCCAUUAUCAAUAUGCAUGCAUUAUGGGAUAUAAUCACCAAGCUCAGUUUUCUGAAGCACUAGACAUGAAGGAGAAUGUUCUAUUAAUGGCUUAUGCUGAAGUGGAAGAAACGAUACUUAUAGGGAGUACUGAUAUGAAUAUGAUGACCAUUCUGAGGUCAAAAUCAAUUGAUGCUCAUGAAGGAUGGUAGUUUCUUAAGUUUGAAUGCAACAACCACAUGACAGUAAACAAGGAUUGGUUUAGUGCUAUUGAUGCUUCUGGAGUUGGCAGUGUUAAGCUUGGCAAUGGAACAAAACUUUCAGUAAAAUAAAGAAAAAGGCUCUAUAAAGCUGGUUACAGAAUCUCAAAGUCUAGUCAUUCAGGAUGCCUUUUAUGUACCAGGUUGAAUCUCCCUAGUCUAGGACAAUUGCAACAGAAGGGUUCGGAGUUCAUGUUCAAGAAGAACACUUGCAUGAAAACAAAUUGUAUGUUUGUUCUUCAUUGUGAUUCUCCGGUGAAAAGAGGAAGUGUAGAGUGUCUUCAAGCCACUCAUAGCCAACUAGCUGCCCUAACCCUCUAGCAUAGGAGGUUUUCUCAUCUCAGUUAUCAACGACUUAUGAAUCAGUAUAAACCCUUUCCUAUGCUGCAAGGGACUCCUGACUUAUGUUUGACUUGUCUCAUUGGCAAAAAACACAAGAAACCCUUUCCUAAAAAGAGUGCAUGGUGAACAAAUAGCAAGCUUCAACUUAUUCAUGCUGAUUUGUGUGGGCUUAUUACUCCAAUUUCGAAUGGAGGCAAGAGGUAUAUCUUCACUUUAAUUGAUGAUUGUAUUGGGGCGCUAGAGGAAAUGUAGUGAAUUUAGGAUCGAAAAAAUAGUAUUUUGAUAACUCACUCAAUUGAUCACUCAAUUUUGUAAAUAUUACAAUUUGGUCACUUGGACCUUUACUCUCACCACUCACAAAUGCCUCUCUACUUCUUCUUUCUUAUUUCUUCCACUCAUACUUGCCUAAAGUGAGGCUUCAUAUUUAUAGGCUAAUACAACCUCCUUAGGAAGAUACUAGCACACUUGGUAGGUUUAGUGUGUGGCUAGAAUUAGUUUAGUUAUUAAAACAUAUUAAUUAGUUUAGUUGAGUAGUUGAGAUAUUUUUAGGGAGACUUCUAGAGUAGGAAAUCUCUAGAUUGUUAAAGGUAAUUCCAUAUUGCAAAUUACCUUUAUUCAACAGAUUGUAGUAGGAAGUUAUGCAUUUAUUUUCUUGUUCAUAAAUCUGAAGCAUUGACUAUAUUCAAGAACUAUAAAACUGAAGUUAAGAAGGAGUCAAGAAAUGAGAUAGGUUGUUUAAGAACUAAUAGAGGAUUCUCUUCGCUGCUGCAAAAUGAAGUUUGCUAGGCUCACUCAUAAAUCUUAAAAUGAGACUUACUGAGUGACAUAUAUCUGGUCUUGUGUGUGUCAGAUAUAUGAGCGAUCCGACUAGGCUUCUGUAUAUUUUCCCGUCAACUUUUUCUGCUCCAUCAUCUUGUUGCAAUUUCUCGUUCAACGCCAUUGGUGUUGUUAUGGGCUUGCACGAUGCCACGUGAAAUCUCUUUAACAUGUCUUCAGUAUACUUCUCUUGAGAGAUGAAUAUUUCUCCAGGUUUCUGCUGUACUUGAAUUCCCAGGAACUACUUCAUGAGUCCUAAGUCUGUCAUCUCGAACUCUGACAUUAUUGCCCUUUUCAUUUCUUCAAUCAUUUGUAGACUUGUGAAUGUAUAGAUUAAGUUAUCAACAUAUAAGCACAAAAUGAGAAAGUUUCUGUUUUCUCCCUUUUUGAUGUAGAGAGAUGCUUCACUUGGACUUCUUUGAAAUCCGUUGUCGUGAAAGUAUCGAUCAAUUAUGCUGUUCCAUGCUCGAGGUGCUUGUUUGAGUCCGUAGAGCGCCUUCUUGAGUCGAUAGACUUUGUCUUCUUCUCCUUUCUUCCCAUAUCCUCGUGGUUGUUCCACAUAGACUUCUUCUUCUAGUGUUCCAUUGAGGAAUGCUGACUUACCGUCUAGCUGGAAUAUUGGUAACUCUAUUUGAGCUGCUAGUGCUAUGACUGUUCUUAUUGUCUCCAUUCGCGCUACUGGUGCGUAGGUUUCGUGAAAGUCGAUGCCAGGCUGUUGUGAAUAGCCUUUUUCUACCAAUCUCGCUUUGUGCUUCUGGAUGGAACCGUCUUCAUUAAAUUUGGUCUUGUAUAUCCAUUUUAGACCUAUGACCGGUUUGUCUUUUGGUUUGUCCACGAGCUCCCAAGUCUUGUUCUUCUCGAUCAUUGUGAUCUCCGUGUCCAUUGCUUCUGUCCAGUCUUUGUCUUUUGCUGCUUCUUCAAAUGUCUGGGGUUCACAAGAAAAAUAUGCUACGUGACUUGAUUCAUAAAUUUCUCUUAAGGAUCUGACCUUUAAUGGAGGUGAGUCUGAAUAUGUCACGACAUCUCUGAAGUUAUCUCUCGUUGGACUUGUUAGACUUCUUCCUUGACAUGGAUUUUGAUCCGCCUCAUUUGGUGUUGUUGGUGUAGUUGUUGGAUUCUCUAGGAUCUCAUUUGUUAAUGGAGAUUGAGUAUCCUGAGUUUCCCAACUCCGCUCGAUCAUUUCGUCGAAGCUUCUGCCCAUAGUUGGUUGGGAAUUUUCUUAGUAGUCAUCAUGCUUCUUGAUAUAUCCACAAUUGUACGGUUCUUUCGUUCUGCUACGCCAUUUUGCUGUGGUGUGUAUCGCACUGUCAACUGUCUCUUGAUUCUCUUGGUGCGACAGUACUCCAUGAAAGGUUUGUAGAUGAACUCUCUACCACGAUCUGUUCGGAGUGUCUUGAUUUGAAGUCCGCUUUCCUUCUCAGUUGCUGCUUUGAAUUGAAGGAACUUGGAGAAAACUUCUGACUUUUGUUCGAGAAAGAAUACCCACAUCAUUCUAGUAUAAUCAUCCACAAAUAGUAGAAAAUAUCUCUUACCACCUAUGGAUUUUGUUCUAGUUGGUCCGCAAAUAUCAGCGUGUACCAACUCUAGUGGUGUUUUUGCUCUCCAAGUAGUUUUUGGAAAUGGCAGGCGAUGCAUUUUGCCAUAUAUACAUCCUUCACAGACCUUGUCUUCUCUGUUGAUUUGGGGAAGACCUCCUACCAUAUUUUUAUGCUUCAACUGUUUGAGGCCUUUGUAGUUUAGGUGUCCAUAUCGAAUAUGCCAUAGAAAAGGUUCAUCCAUACUUUGGCUCUUCAUUGCUAAUUCUUCAUUCCUCGACAUUGUGAGAGGAAACAUCCUAUUGGAAGGCAUACAAAUUUUCGCCACCAUUGGAAUUUUUGCCAGCUUUGAGUUGUUGGAUUUGUUGAUAAUCUCACAUUCUCCGUUAUCAAACAAUAGCUUGUAAUUUUUAAGCAUUAGUUGUCCAACACUUAGAAGAUUUUGAGCUAAUUCAGGAACGUACAAAACUUCUUGGAUUAGAGUUUUGUUACCUCCCUUUCCUUGUAUGAUGAUUGUACCCUUUCCUUCAACUUCCAGCUUUUUACCGUCUCCAAUCUUCACGUGGGACUUAUAUGUAUCAUCCAUCUCGGUGAAGGACUCCCGAUCUCCAGUCAUGUGAUUACUGCAACCGCUGUCCACCACCCAUGGAAGUUGAGAUUUUUGCUCAGCUUUGAAGCAACUGUAUGCGACCAGUUUUUCUUCGUCCUGUUGUGCGAAGCUUGAUUCGCCUUCUUCUUUCUUGUUUUGGAACCAGAAAUCUCGUUAAGAGUGAUUUUGAAUUUUGCACUUGGUGCAUCUGAACCUGCAUUCUUUGGUAGCAUGGUUAGAUUUUUUGCAAAUUUUGCAUCCGUCGUUGGAGUUGUUUGGUUUCUCUUGAUUCUGGCUCCAGUUGCUGCUUUUCUUAAAAUUCGGUUUUCCUCCUUUCUUUUAGAAGUUGCCCCCUCUGUGGUUCGGCUUUCCUUUGAUGUCGACCUUGGAUUGAAAAGGUUGUUUGAGUUGUUGGUUAGUAAACCGACUCAAUCUCUACUUGUGAGCUACAAGUGAUCCCAUAAGCUCCGUCAUGGGUAAUUUUCCAAGAUUUUUGGUUUCUUCUAUGACAGCGACGACGUAUUCAAUCUUCGGUGUUAGACUGCGGAGGAUCCUCUCCACGAUCUUCUUCUCGUCGAUAGUCUCUCCAGUGACUUUGAUCUGGUUCACUAUCUCUGCAACACGAGAAUGAAAGUCUUUGAUGCUUUCGCCUUCUUUCAUCGCCAGGUUGUCAAAUUGACGCCAUAGAUUUUGGCGUUUUAUGGAGAUUGCCUUCUCGGAACCUUGAAAUUCGUUCUUCAGGACUUCCCAAGCUUCCUUGGCUUAUUUGAUGCCAAAAAUUCUCUGAAAUAUUGUUUUGCUCACAGCUUGCUGAAUUAUCCUCAAUGCGCUGGCGUUCCUCUUCACAUUCUCCUUAUGUUCCUUCAUCUUCGUCCCGCUUGUUUUGGGAUGGUCAUCUUUUGUCGAUUACACCUUUUUUCGGUUGAUGUGGAAUCAUUCUCUUGUGGUGAUUGUUCGAUGCCUUCUUGAACAAUAUCCCACAAGUCUUGCGAAAUGAUGAUAGUCUCCAUUUGUGCUUUCUAGUAUUCAUACAAUUCUCCAUCAAAAAUUGGGAUUUGAUUUGGAGAGUUGGCGAACAUGGAACUUGACGAUGGUGCUGCCAUUGGAUUUUGAGGGGAUUUUUUUUGGUAGAGUUUUUGAGAGGGUUUUGUGAGGGUAGGUUAUAAUAUGGUUAUCAAAGUACUAAAGUGUAACUUUUCUGAUGUGGAAGAUCAGUUAUUAAAACCNNNNNNNNNNNNNNNNNNNNNNNNNNUUUUAUAAAUAUUACAAUUUGGUCACUUGGACCUUUACUCUCACCACUCACAAAUGCCUCUCUACUUCUUCUUUCUUAUUUCUUCCACUCAUACUUGCCUAAAGUGAGGCUUCAUAUUUAUAGGCUAAUACAACCUCCUUAGGAAGAUACUAGCACACUUUGUAGGUUUAGUGUGUGGCUAGAAUUAGUUUAGUUAUUAAAACAUAUUAAUAAGUUUAGUUGAGUAGUUGAGAUAUUUUUAGGGAGAUUUCUAGAGUAAGAAAUCACUAGAUUGUUAAAGGUAAUUGCAUAUUGCAAAUUACCUUUAUUCAACAGAUUGUAGUAGGAAGUUAUGCAUUUAUUUUCUUGUUCAUAAAUCUGAAGCAUUGACUAUAUUCAAGAACUAUAAAACUGAAGUUAAGAAGGAGUCAAGAAAUGAGAUAGGUUGUUUAAGAACUAAUAGAGGGGGAGAAUUCAUUCAAAAUGAAGUCAAGCAGUUAUGUGUAGAAACUGGAAUUAGAAAAUAGCUUACUGCUUCUCUGACUCCACAGCAGAACAGAGUGGCUGAGAGGAAGAACAGAACCAUCAUGAAUAUGGUUCGCUGCAUGAUUGCAGAUACAAAGGUUCCAGCUGAGUUUUGGCCAGAAGCAGUUUUCUAGAAUACUCAUCUACUUAACAUGAGUCUUACAACUGCUCUCUUCAAAACAAAAAUCCUCAGGAAAUUUGGACAGGAAAACCUCCUAACCUGAGAGUUUUUGGCUGCAUUACUUAUUUGUACAUACCAGAUCAACAUAGAAACAAGUUUGACAACAAGAGCUUUCUUUAUGUCUUUCUUGGAAUCUCAGUUAAUCUGGCAUGAUUCUAAUCUUGAUGAUGUUGAAGAUAGCUCUAUAGAAAAUCCUUCAGUUACACCAUCUGAAGCAGAUAUAGACGAAGAAGAAGAAGAAGCUAAUCCUCCAUCUGAUACUGAGGAAGGUACCAUAGCUACAGUAACCCCUACCGGCUUGGGACCUAGAAAUAGAAGGCUUCCAGCUCCUCUUGAUAUCUAUGAUCUCAUCUCUAAUCUUUCAAAGUGGUGCGCCAUGGUGGCUAUUUCUGAUGACCCUCUCACGUUUGAAGAGGCGGCUCAAGAUGAGAAAUGGAAAACUACCAUGAAACAGGAACUGCUUGCUUUUAAAAAAAUGACACUUGGUUUCUUACCAACUUGCCUACUUGAAUUCAAACUAUUCGGCUCAAAUGGGUUUUCAAAACCAAGAUUAAGGAGGAUGGCUCAGUAUAUUAAUACAAAGCGAAGCUGGUGGCUAAGAGAUACUCUCAACAAUAUGACAUUAAUUAUACAGAAGUAUUUGCUCCUACCAUUUGCAUUUUUUUGGCACUUGUAACAUCUCAUGGCUUGACAAUCUAUCAACUUGAUGUUAAAAGUCUUUUUACAUGGAAAGUUGAUUAAGGAUGUCUAUAUUGAGCAACCAAUAAAUUUUAUGGUCCUUAGGAAGGAAAUAAAAUUAUACUUAAAAAAGCAUUAUAUGAAUUAAAAACAGGCACCUAGAGCCUGAUACAACAUAAUUAAAGGCUACUUUGUUACAGAUAGAUUUGAAAGGUGUCCUUAUCAACAUACUUUGUUUAAGAAGCUUGGAUCAAGUAUACAGUUGGUCAGCCUGUAGUGGAUGAUGUAAUGUAUGCUAACAAUGAUUCGAGUAUAAUUAAGGAGUUCAAAGAAUUUAUGUAGGCUGAGUUUGAAAUGACAGAUUUAGGGAGGAUGAGAUAUUUUCUUGGCAUUGACGUUAUGCAAAGUGAUUGUGACACCCUGAUUUUGGAUAGAUUGUUGGUUUUUUAUUUUCAUUGAAUUAUGGAAUUCCAAAAAUCCGCUGAUGAGUGGACAGUCAUGGGAGUGACCGUCAGUCUAUCACGGGCGUGGUUGCCAGAUAGACCAAGGUUAUGGUCAGUAGUCUGUCACAAACAUGGCCAUCAAUAGCUCAUGGACGUGGUUGUCAUGCAAUCACUAACGUUGUGGUAAGUCGAGCCACAGGCGUGGUGGACUUAUUAUAAAACCAAAGUCGCGACCUGCAACUCAAAAUUUACCAAAACCCAAACUUAAAAAUUCCUCUAACAAACAACGAUUACUUUUAGGAGGUGUAGAAGGCAUAGUUAAUCAAACACAUAUCAAUAACAAAGGUUUAGAGAUUGUUGAGGAAGUUUUAGAAGGUAAUCAAUAUUCUUCCUCCUCUCUCAAUCCUUUGAUUGAAAACCUACGUAGGAAAAAUCGUAACAGUUAAGAAUUUGGGGAUUUGGGAUUUUAAUUCUAUGAUUGAUCUCUACAGGUCGGACAAAACGGAAGACUUGAACUCUGGGAAGGCAGUUUUAGAUCAGACUCUUCUAUGAAAGCAUAUUAGAGGCAGAGGUUAGGAUUACUUUUCUGCUUUAACUAUAGAACUGUAAUAGGUUGUUAGGAAUCUAAUGAUCAGAUUCUCAUGACUGUACAGUAACGUGUUAUCUACUGUAUAGGUGUUGUGAUUUAGAGUAGGGCUCUCAGGACUGUACAGUAGAGUGUGAUUUACUAUAUAGGUGUUGUGAUUCAAAGUGGGGCUCUCAUGUUGUACAGUAUCGUGUGAUCUACUGUACAAACAGUUAUAUUAAUUCAAGCAUAAUCUCUUGGCGGUUGAUUUGUGGUGUGUGAUUCACAGUUCAUGUUAGGACAGGAUUAUGCGUUGGUCACCUACCCAUGAAUUGCGCAAUCCCCUAAGCUAUAAUCAGGCUUUAGCAGGACGUGUUGAGUAAAUUUACAGAUGUUGCUCCGACGGUAUUCAUUGUAGUUUCAAGGUCUAAUCCACCAUGAGGUUGUCCGCUCACAACUAGAGGUGGCUGACGUUAGGUGGAUGCCUACUGGACUACAGGGUCACAUUACUAGAUGCUAGUACAUUUCUACGCAAGUCUAGUUUAGCCACUCAGUGCUUAUCAAUGGGUUCGUCUCUUUCAUCUUGUAUGAACAAAUGUGGAAUCUCAGUAGCAAAUGCUGCCUAAGAGAGCUACACGAGCAGCAGUGUCAACUCAAUCGAGUGGCUUAGGGAGUCAUAGAGAGAGGUACCUUAGAGGACCUCAUCUAUCCCUUUUCAUGUUUUCAGGAUUUCAUAUGUUUUAGUACUUAUCUUUGAAUGUUGAGUUCCCUUGUUUAGAUGCUUUUUCAUUGUUGUUUAGUACUUAAUUUUGAGUCAUUGAUGCUCUAUUUUUUUACGUUGUCGUUUAUGAUGUUAUGAGGAGUUUCAUGUUUCAGUAUUUAUGCAUUUGUUAUGUAUGUUUAAAUUGAUGAGUGAACCAGCGAGUAAUUGUAUGGGUCGAACCGUGUGAUUUAAUUGGGUCAUCUAGGGGCGGGUUUCAUAGUGAAGAAGACAAAAAAGAAAAAGAAGAAGAAAAAGAAAAAAAAGAAGAAGAAGAAGAAGAAGAAGAAGAGAAGAAAAAGAAGAGGUGGUUGUGAUAUUGUGGUGGUGGAUCCUUACGUGGAUUACUGUGGGCCCACCCUGUUCAGGAGGUUUCAGAUGCGUGUACUAAAUAAACCAAAGGGUCAAGGUUGGGUCGUUCACUGGAUCAACCGAAAUGGUCAGCUUUUAUUUUAUGCUUGGUGAACAGAGAUUAAAGAGCUGGGACAGGCAACCAGAAUUGAGUAAACCGAACAAAUAGGAGCGGGCAUAACCAGAAAGUAGAGAGGUUUUCGAAAUGAAUUUAGGGCAAUAAUAUGAGAUGUGUUGGCGUUGGGCUGUCAAUAGGCAAAAAGAUGGAGGGAGAGAUUCUUUGAAUUAGGGUUUUCACUUUUCAGGCGUUAAUGAGGAAAACAAAACUCACUCUUUAUUCAUGGUGUAGUGUAGUGUACACAGCAGUAGAAUACGGUGUGUUUCCUCUUUUUCUGGGCCUCUCUUUACUUUGAAGUAAAGGCAAGCAUCUAAAAAUGUUUGAGAGAGGUGCUUCUGCCGCGUUUUGACUCGUGGCCGUCAAGCAAAAUACAAUUCCGCCGUUGAUUUGAUGUUGCCAGUUGCCACUUUAAAAAGUGUGCUCGGUGACUCGCUGAUUUCCCUUCUCACGUACCGGUCCUUUUGGUUGCUGUAUUGUCUGCCGCAUUCGUCUUGAUUCUUUGUGCAUCGACGUCGUUGGGUUUAAACAUUAAACAAACAGCCGUCAUAUAUACGAUGAUGAUGAUGAUGAUUCCUUGACUACACUACACUUAAUAGACAGAGAGACAGAGAGACAGACAGACCCCCCUUUUGGUUUUGGGGGCCUCUCAGCUGUCAAUGAAAAAGGCCUCUACUACUGAGUGCAUACUGUUCGGAUACUCCAUCACCUGCUUUAUUUUAACUUAUCUUACCUCUUCAUUAUUUAAUUAAUGCUUUAUUUUCUCAUACCUAACAAAACUUUCUUUUUCCUUUUACACUAUCCAUCUCCAUUUUUGUACCAUUUAAAAUGAAUCUCAAAUUGAAUUGUAAUUUAUCUCUGUAAUUAGAUUACUUUUGAAUUACUAGAGCUAUACUUUGCUCAAAAUAUUAAGUUCCCUUAGUGAUGGGUAUUUGGGUUCAUUCAUGUCAUGUAUGUGCCUCGGAUAUGCUACUUGAUCAUACAUUUUUAAUAUUAUAAAUUAGAUAUGUACAAUUUUCCAACACUCAUUCUCAAAAGAAACCAAUUCAAACAUGCAUAUUUUGCCUGAGGGGAUAUUAUUUUGCACUGAUUUUCAUUUGCCUGUGGGACUCAAAUUGACUGCAAAAAAAAGAUAAUGUUUUCCGCGUUAUUAGUUCACUUGUCCAAACCACAUUUGCAUUUAAUCAGUUUCAUGAAAAGACAAAAAUACCCUUUUAUAACCCCAACCCUAGCAAUUUUAUAAUGCCUACUACUUAUCCACCCUAGCAAUUCUUCCCAGUCUCUGUUUUCUGAAUCUGCACGCUUAUUGGGAAAUAUUCCAUCCAGUUGCUAUUUUUUCAAUUUGAGUGCUUGUUCACUCCACAUCAUUAAAAAAUUUCUUGACAUUGUACAACAUCUAUCUAUAGAACAGAGAUACAACAAAGCAAUGGAAUGAAUACAAUAUGAACCAAAAAGAAUAAAAGAGAGAAACAAAGGUUAAAAGAGAACCAACAACAAAGAUUUUCCCAUCCAAAAUACUCAUGCUUCAAAAUAUUCAGCAGUAGGAUAACAGUUCAAAACACUUAGGGGUUGUUUGUGCAAGUGAUUGUUUUGAGUGAUUUGGGUGAUUUGGUCUCUAAAAUCUUUAAGUUAGAAAUUUUGUCAAAUAGAUUGUUUGGAUCACAAUUAAUUAUGGGAGAAUGUUAGAGAUUUGAAUUCUUGAUGUGGGACUCAAGAGAUUUUGAGCUCAUAUUGAAAUCACUAGGUUAGGAAGGGGAUUUUGGGAGAAUUCAUUCCAUUUCAUUUCAUUUUUGAAUUCUCUAGUCCCAACAAUCACCUAAAAUGACACAACCAAACAUUCUAUUUCUUGAAAUAGCAUGACCCUCAUAUUCUCUAACUAUUUGAAUUCUUUAGCUAUUUGAAUUCUCUUCCUACGAAUUCACCCGCACAAACGACCUCUUAACAAAACAAAUGCCAUGUUUCCCACCCGAAAUAUCCUUCUUCCCAUCUAAAAUGUCAUUAGUUCAACUGAAAUAAGAUAACUGUACUAACAUCUUAGUGAUAGCAUACGGUGAAGCUACAUUUCAUUCUUCUAUGAUACUUUCAAUUCAUCCCUUACAGUCCUCGUCAGAUUCCAUUUGAAGGAAAAAUUCCAUUAGAUUGGGAUUCUUCACCAUCUUAUGUGCGACAUGAAAAGCCUGACGCUUUGCGAAACCUUCUAUCUUACCUAGCUCUUUCCACAUCAGUGACCUUUUGUUAUUAUGCACAACCAAUUCUCCAACUAAUUCUCUCAAUGAGCCGACAACCUCCCUCAACAAUGGGUUCAACUCAUCGUCAUCAUCCUUGUUAGCAUUCUUUGACGUUCGACGAGCCCUCUUCAAAGGCACACUGGUAGCAUCUGACUGGUUACCCUUGCCAGUCGGUGUAGUCGGGGGCACUUCGUCAUCAAGGUUUACAAAGCCUUCAUCUUCGUUUUGUGACUGGCCACCCACAUCAGAAUCAACCCCGUCCUGAUUCUUCUUCUAGCCGAUCAGCAUGUUUUGGGGCAUUUCAAUUAGAGGACAAGGCUUCUUAAGUUCUUCCAAGCCAACAACCUUAGCUCCCGUCGCUCUCACAUUCCGGAAUAUAGAGUCGAGUGCGUCAUACAAAGAGAACGAAACACGAUUCAAUAUUGCACGAUGAGUGUGCUUCUGCACUCCAACAAACAAAUGAAUAUGCAUGUAUAACUGCACUAGUAUUAUUAUUCAUAAAACAAAAUAGGUUUCAUAAAGCUUUCCCGUUGCAUGUAUCCACAGAGAAGUUUUGAUUAUUGAUACAUAAAACGUUAAAAGCAACAAAACAACCAUUUCAUUUAACAAUACCCCUUCUUUAUUAUAGUAAUGUCAGAAAUCUCAUUAUACUCACCUAAGAUAGCACUUCAAAAUCGGAUAGCAUUUCACUUUACAAAAACAGCAACCAAGAUACUCACCGCAACAUAAUCGGCAUAGACAGUAUCGUCAAGCAUCACCAUCUUGUUGAUGUCACACCAACUAGCACAACUCAAUCCUCUUAACUCUUGCACCGCAAGGAACUUGGCCUUAAGCAACUUGCAUUGAGAAAUAAUGUUCGGGGUGGCUGUUACACAAUAACCUGGUUUUUCUUCUUCCAUCAUUCACUCAAUAUCCUUGUGCGCCCCAACAAACUUUCCUUUCUCAUCUAUUUUUCCGAGCUCUGUCAAUGAAAGUAUGCACUUCACGAGGGCCUUAUCUAAAUCGUCAAUCCAAAUGAAAUAUUUCCGCCCUGCAUCGUCAUUUGUCUUUUCCUUUCUUUUUCUUUCCAUCACUAAAAAAAAGUUGGGAAGGUACAUAAGUAAUAACCCGUGCAAAUGAGUGAAAAUGUAAUAUAAAAUCAGUCAAUCACCAUUCAAUGAACUACUACAACUAGUGCAAUUAUAAAACAGUUCACAAGAUACAAUCAUUCAAUCACCAUUCAUAAACGCAAGGAAACAACAUAAUCCAUUGGUUUACAACAUAAAAGCAAGAUACAAGCAUAAACCAAAAGACCCCUAACGUCUAGUUCUACUCUGCCAUAUAUCUUCAGCUAAUUGGUUCCCAAAACGCUAUCCACUCUAGAGAUGGCAGCACUGAUGGUAUGGAAUCAUCCAACUCCUCAUUGUUAUUAGCCGCCAACUAUAAAUUAGAAAAUGACCUUUCUAAUUCGUCAACGUCUACCUCCCUUCUAAUGAAAUUAUGAAUCAAACAACAAACAUGAACUAUUCUUGAUACCACUUCAGGAGAAAAUCAUCAACUGUCACGUAAUAUAGCCCAUCUUAUUUUCAAAACGCCAAAUGCUCUCUCAAUGAUAUUUCUUGCACAUGAAUGUCGCAAGUUGAACAAUUCCUCGCGAGUGUUAGGUCGAUUUGCACCCCAUUCUUUGAGAUGGUAUCUUGUAGCCCUAUAUGGAGUCAAAAAUCCCUCACAGUUACCAUAACUAGCGUCCCCAAGAUAGUAAUGUCCUAGGUAAAACAAUUAUGAGGUGGUUAGUAUGUUAUUUGAAAAUCGUUUAAUUAGGGACUCAUGUAGCGUGCGUUACCUUUCGGCACCUUCAACCCGUAAGGCCUAGAAACAGCAACCUUUAACACCCGACAGUCAUGAGCCAAACCUUCCCAACCCGAAAGACAGUACAUGAACUCCAUAUCAGGGUUUACAGCUGCCAAAACAUUGAUGGAGUUGGCACCCUUCCUACCACGGUAUUUAGGUUGAUUUUAUUUUCUCGCACGAACACCUAUUUACGUCCUAUCUAUUGCUCUAGACAAUACUACACAAGAAAUUGUUUUUUAAUAACUAAUAUAAACGGCGAAUGACACUUUUAGAUUUAACAAAAAAAUAUGAGCUUUAACACACCUUGAAAUGUCUCCAUCGUGGAUGGGGCGUGUUCUUCUUUACGGAAACAGGUUUGACGUAUAAGGUCGCGUGCAUAUUAAGAAUUGGUUGGAGACGGCAUGGACGACGGCAUAAAUAGUUUUAUCCGACCGAGCAAAUUCUUUUUACAGUAUCCUAUUUUUUAUGUUGUGACCCAAAGUGUACAAGAACAUGACAACCAUCUCAUCUACCUCCACGUUCUUUGUUUUAUUGUACUAAUUCAUGACACAACCGGUUAAACACGUGCAUAGACAUUCUAAUAACAUAUAUGCUCGAUCGAUUACUUAAUUUCGUGGCUUUGAACAUAAAUCCUCCUCUGGUUGCUUCGCCAUGUCUCAACCUAUCCAUAAUACUCCUUGAAGGUGUUCGCGGGAGUCGUGGUCGACAAUAUCACCGUCUCCAUAUAAUAAGAAUGAUGAGGAUUAUAGUUAAUGUUAUGGUCAAAAAGAAUGUUCUACGAUGACGAGUUGCUGCCAUUAGUCUAGCCAUUCCUAUUUCGUAUACAUGUUACACACUGAGUUACGUAUUGAAGGAACAUAAUUGUAAGCUAAUGGAUUAUAUGAUGUAAACUAAUGGAAAGUUACUGUGUAGGCAAACACCCCAACUUGUUAACUGGUAUUUUUAUAGAAACAAUAGCAAUACAUAGGAUGUAAGCAAAUACAGAGGAAUCGACAGCCGCCAAACUCGCAAACAAUAACAGAGGACUCGCAGAUAAUAUCGGCAACCCCCAAAAUCGAAAGACAAUAUCGGCAGCCACUGAAAUCGUAGAAUGGUUCGUACAAUAACAGAGGACUCGCGACAAUAUCGAUAGCCACCAAAAUCGGAAGACAAAUAUCAGCAGCCACCGAAAUCGGCGAAUGGUUCGAAAAAUAAUAGAGGACUCACAGACAAUAUCGACAGCCGCCGAAAUUGCAAGACAAAUAUCGGCAGGCCCCAACAUGGGUGAACGGGUUGAACAAUAACAGAGGUCAUUCUUUAGGCGUCGACCGUCAACGUCGGUCGAUGCUUUUAAAAAUACGAAACUCUCCUCUCUUGUCGUCAGCCUCUGGUCCGCCGCCAUCCAGUGAUUCGUCGCCGCUCGCCGCCGUUUCCAUAAGGUCGAGUUUUUAGGGUUGAGAGAUAAUAGAAGAUGAGCACGUAGGUGAAGAUAGGGGAGAUGGAUAAGGGUUAAUUUUGGGAAAACGAAAAAAAAAAAUCAAAACCGCCAGUUUUACAGAAUACCGCACCGUUGGUACGGUGAUUAAAAAAGCAUUACAGAGCUUAUUUGUGGGCCUACGGAUAUUCAAAGUCCGGUGGUAUUACGUCACCAUUUUUAAUCGAAAAACAUGAAUUUAAUUUUUGGUGCCGAAUUUCGCAAAACCCGGCAGCAUUGACAGCACGGAAAACAUGGUUAUAGUAUUUCUUUUUAUCUUGGGUUCAUGCUUUGAGUAGGCUUGGCAAUACGUCCGUGCGGGUCUGGAUUGUUAGCUCUCGAUUUCCGCUCGCCCAUCAAAUCGGGUUUCUUAGUCCCGGUCCCGGAGUCCAAACGGAUGCUAAUUGCAACCCAUCUCUGAACCCGUCGGACUAUUGGUCGCCGUGUAAAACCCAUAUAUGAUUAUUUAAAAAAAACACUGAAUUAUAAACCCACCAGAAUAUGAACUCUGCUGACUGCAGAUCAUCAAAUACAAAAAUUGAACUCAUCUUUCAAUUGUCAAAUGCUACAAUCGAAAGCUCAAAUUUGCUGAGAUCUGUUGGUGUUGCAGUUCAAUAAAACACAAACACUUUAUCCCUCGCGAACAAACCCAAAAUAUUCAAAUUGAAAUAAUGAAAGAAAAAUACAAAAUAUCCAGUCCAACAUCAAAUACUCAUCAGCAUCGCUCAUCAAUCAUCAGUGCAGCAACCAGCAAGAGAAUCCAAGUAGUAGAGGGAAGCUUCAGUCAUCACUAAACCCUAAUCUCAUAGUUCAAUCAAAUUAGUUAGUGAUUUAGUUCUUACUUCUUACCAGGAAUUGAGGAUAGGAGGAGAGUUGGAGUUCCGAAGAGGUUUGAAGAAUUUGAGAGGAUUCUCUCGUUGGAAUUGGAGAGGUCUUUAACAGAUUAGGCUAAAUAUAUUAUAUAUGUCGGGUUUUCGGGUCGGAUAGUAGAUUAUUGAUAUCCUACCGGUCUCCGCUGAAAUCAGAUGGUGGGUUUAUCCGGACUCGGUUAAUAGUCCGAUCAAUUGGAUAAAGUCCGAUCAAACUGGGUGAAGGGACGGACAGAUAAUUGGAAUUCUGGAUUCAAAUGCCAAGGCUAGCGUUGAGGACACAUAUCAUGAUUGUUUUUCAAAAUAAUGGAAAACGUAUAUAAUAUAUUUUGCUGAACUAAUGCCAGACAGCUGUUGUCCCAUUUAUUUAGUAUUUUUUUAGCAGUUUUCUCCUAAUUUGUUUGAUUUAAUAAUGUUUCAUAAUAGUACAUAUAAAAUUGUCAUUUUCUUACUAGUUUUACGCGUUAUUCUUCAGAAGCACAGGGUGAUCUGAUCGGAAGAAUAAAUGGAUACUCGUAAUUGAUUGAUGAAGAAAGGCAAAAAUGUUUUACUAGCUAUAAUGGUUAUGUUCAUGAGGUAAAGCUACCGUACGUACAUGUUUUAAUUUCAUUAAGAUGAAUUUCCACAUGAGACUACUAUACUGUGCAGGGCAUGCUGAUUUUUUUUUUUAUCUUUAACGAAUUCGACCAAAUUAAGGGAACAAUAUAUAUUAUUAGUCAACGGUCAUAUGUAAGCAUUAAAAGAAAAAAGAAAAGAAAGAAGGUAACAAAUUAAAUGGGUAUAGAGUUGAUGAGUAGUUAUUCUUAUUUCAGAUUAACUGUUUCAUAAAGGUAAACACAAUGCAUCCACAAAUUUACCUGCUCCUAUGUAUAGCUAUACAAUCCGACGCGCGCCAUUAAAAAUAAAUAACCCAAAAAACAAAAACAAAACGGUAAAAUUAAAAACAUGUUGGUAAUUAUUGUUUUUUUUCCAAAAAUGGACAGAGACAAAGUAACAAUUUCAAAAUUCAAAUUCAAUACGUGUGUGUGCACAAACAGUAGUACUAGUAACUCUGUAUAUUAUCUUGAUAUCUACAAUCUCUUAAUUACCUACUGCAGUUCCCCCCAAACUCGACUUCGAUCAGGAAUCCAAAGCCAAUGGAGUCUGCAAGAGAUCGUAGGGAGCCCAUAGGGCAUCCAAAGGACACGGUCGAUUGGCGUCCAGGCGAGCCCACGGUUUCCCUUUCCCACUCCAAUGCAACAGACUCACCGGACCUGGAUGCAGAUUCCGGCACAGUCCUCUGAAAUUGUCCCCUCCUAAACCGUGCUGAUUCCACCGGUGAUCCACGGGCACUAUAUUCCCGGCGAACACUAGCAAAAAGGGCGGCAAGGAUCCCAACUCGUAGAUCCUCAUCCUCUUCUGCACCUCCAUCCACUCCUCGAUCUUAGUAGUAUAAUCCCCUUGUCUCCAUCUGUCAAGGUCAAUCACCAUAACCCCGGUAUUGAAAUAACAGGCCUUCCUGUCGGCGAAGGUCAACGAAAGAGACGGAUUGGACCAGAAGGUCGGAGUGAAGUAGAAGGUGAAAUUGGCAUUGCAGUACUGCGGAGCGGCGAGCACGGCGGUGUCGCCGAGCGGAGUUCUGGCGAGUUUGGCGAUGUCGUCGACGAGGACGAGGUCGGAAUCGAGGUAGACAAUUCGUCGAACACAAGGCGGGAGUACGUUGGCCAAGUAGCUUCUGGCGUAGUUGAGAGGGCAGUCGAGGGCGGAUCGGAUUGAGGUGGAGAUGAGUCGGGAGACGGAGGAGUCGUCGAAGGUGUAGACUCGGAAAUUGAGGUAAGGGAAUGAAGAAGAGAUGGUGGAGCGUAGAGCAGAGGAGGCGUUUGCUGAUUCUGAUGCUACGAAAUGGAAAGCUAUGUUCUGCGGGCAGGAGGAGUGCUGGAGAACAGAGAGAAUUGCGGCCAUGGAUCCGCGGAGGUAGGCGGUGUCUAAGGUCAUAGCCACGUGGACGGCGCGAUCUGAACAGAAGAUGGCGUCAUGGUCAGCGGCGGAGGGGCAGUCAGGGGAAUUGUAAAACUGGGGAGCUUCUUUGAAAGUGAGGGAUCCAUUGGAAGUCAAAGGUAGAAGAAGAAUGAAAAUGAAAAUGAAAGAACAGAGAAAUGCAGGCAUAACAGCAAGGAAGAGUUGGGGUUGUGAAUCAAUCAAAUGAAUGUUCGUCAAAAUUAGGAAGGUUGUGGGGGGGCUUUUAUUUGGCUGUCUAGCUGGCUGGCUGGCUGGCUGUCAGAAUCAAUAACAAUAAUAAUGUUAUAAUCUUAUUAACAAUCACCCAAAUGGAAUUGAUUAUUAAUACCAUUUUUUUAUAAAUAAAUAUUAUGAAAAUUCUAAAUAAUGGAUUGUAAUUUGUAAAAACGGACAACAUGAAGUAAAAUCGGAUUAUACGAAGUAAAAAUGGACGGUGUUAGUAGAAACGGACUGCAUAGAGUAAUUUUUUAAUUAAAGGUAUUUUAGUCUAUUUACGGACUGCACGAAGUAUAAGACAGAAUGUAAUAGCAUUGGACUAAUAAUAAUGUUAUAAUUCUAUUAGCAAUCAACCAAACCGAGUUGAUUAUUAAAUUGUUAAUUACCUUCUCCACCCGGCUUAUGCGAUGUUCUGUGGGCAGGAGUAGUGCUGGAGAACUGAGAGGAUAGCGGCCAUGGAGCCGCGGAGGUAGGCGGUGUCUAAGGUCAUCGCCACAGGGACUGCGCGAUCUGAACAGAAGAUGGCGUCAUGGUCAGCGGCGGAGGGGCAGUCAGGGGAAUUGUAAAACUGGGGAGCUUCUUUGAAAGUGAGGGAUCCAUUGGAAGUCAAAGGUAGAAGAAGAAUGAAAAUGAAAAUGAAAGAACAGAGAAAUGCAGGCAUAACAGCAAGGAAGAGUUGGGGUUGUGAAUCAAUCAAAUGAAUGUUCGUCAAAAUUAGGAAGGUUGUGGGGGGGCUUUUAUUUGGCUGUCUAGCUGGCUGGCUGGCUGGCUGUCAGAAUCAAUAACAAUAAUAAUGUUAUAAUCUUAUUAACAAUCACCCAAAUGGAAUUGAU